rnacentral:lncRNA from 1 species
UAUCUCCAAGUUUAGACAUUUGUAUAAGAACUGUGGUAAAGAUUAUAAUCAGUAAGGACUCCAACUUCUUUCUCUAGCCCCAUCACUGACAGGCCAAGUUAGCUCAGUGAAAUUCCCAGGGUCAGCUUUUCUGUUUUUAGAAAUAUAACUAAUUAGCUCUCUGUAGUUUUAAACAUCAUUUCUUAAUGAUUUUCUGUAGUAAUAAUUCUCUGUGAUUACCUAGCAGGGUGACAUUCACGAGAACUGUUCUUUGUAAAUUGGUUUCUGAUAAUAGGGAGGACAGACCAGUUCAUGAAGCACAGAUAAGAGAACAAUAGGGUAGUGGGCCAUGAGAGAGUAAAGGAUUGGGCAGGAUCAGGAGAGUGAGAGGAAUUUCCUUUAUCACUCUAGGCGAAUGAGGUCAACAUAUCUCUUUGAGGAGCCUUAUAUCACAUGAUAGUUAUGAUGUUAGUUACUUGUAAUAGUAACAGUAUUAGUAGUACUCUGCAUAUUGUCAGAAUUUCAGAUAUUCUAAAAUUUCCUUCUGAAUAUAUUUUGAUGCCAUUUCCUGUCCAAAAGCUUGGUUUAAUAAAUGUUGCAUCAAACUUUCUACUUCUGCCAAUGAUUUAGUAUAAAAUUUGAAUAAAUUUAGCAGAUCUUCAUAUGUUAAGACCCAGUGCCUAAUUUGGAAUGUUGAUGUGAGGAUUAGAGACACAUUUUUCUAUAACAGAACUCUCUCAUUUUCCAUAUAAUAAAAGGGCAAACAAACAGGAAGAAAUGAUUCAGUUCCGGAAUAGUGAUCCUCCCCAGUAAUGGAAGUUAAUUGAAGAGGGAUUUUAAUGUAGCUCACAUUUAGGAAGGAAAUAGUUUUCUUGUUAUUCAAUAAGAUCCAAACGUUAUGAUUUCAAGGAGAUAUGGAUCUUCUAUGAGGAACUAGUGAGUUCUGGUGGCAGGAGAUGAAACACCUUUUUUUUUUUUUUUUAAGACAAGAGGAAUAGAUGAACAAAUAUGCAAAGGAAAACAAUAAAUACCAAAAUAUGCAGCAAACCAAAGCAGAAACCCACCCUGGUGCCUUCCCUGGUCUCUUUUAUUCUCAAAGCUCUAGUUUCCCUUUCCAGUUACCUGGCAGAAGAAACAGAUGGGAGAUAAAAAUGCUAUGAUUCAUCUCAGGGUGCCAUAAGGAUGUAGAAGAUACAACAUGAGGAAGGGGGUAUGAUGACUACUUGUGAAGGACCAGAGCCAAGAAAGGAAGGGAGGUGAGAGCAUGAAUGAACCAAGGCACUGGUUCAGUUGGAGGUCAAGUGGAAGGUCAAGUGGGUAGGCAUGGAGAGGGCUCCCUGGAGGAAUACCCAGCUGAGGGAUGCCCAUAAAAGGAUCACACUGAAGGUCUGGGUGAUGAGGCUGCAGGCUCAAGAACAACCAUAGUAGGGCUGAGUUUGACUAGGAACACAGGAUUAUCAGUCCUCAGCCUCUCAUCUCAAUAGCUUGAAUUUGUGCUUGGUCAUUGGUAACAUGGAGUAAAAAAAUGAUUGAAGUUUCUUCAGGGAUGUGUUUCUGCCUAUCCUCUGUCAGGACCCUUGAGACACCUUUGCUGUGAAUAAUGGAGAAGCAAAAGGAGUUACUAAUGAAGACAAACUAAACCCGAGAACAGAGAGAGCCUAACUAUGUGCUCCAGAAGUGCCAUGUGUGUCUAAGGUCACCAGUGCCCGAAUUUUUGGCUUUCUAUGGCUGAAGUGUAGUUUUAAGUGGCAGUGAAAUUAUGAUGACAUUGGACGGUGAUAUAGCGGUGAGCGUGGUGGUAAUUAAUCAAAGUCUGAGAUUUUUUUUCUUACUGUAUCAGAUUACAAAUCACUUCAUAGAAUUUAAAGAUUACUUAUUCCUUGGUGGGUUUGUGUAAUGCCCACAAUAAGACAAUCUUUUCAUUUGUACAACUAUUUGCAAUAAUUGAAACUAUAAUUUGAUCCUCAUUUCAUGUUUCAAAGUAAGGAGUGAGGUAAAUUUAUUCUAUGCAAUAAAGAGCAAGUAUAGGGAUUUGAUAUCUGCAUAUAGGACUUAAAGGAGCCAAUUAUAACCCUUCUUUGUGCCUGGUGGGCCAAAUAUGACAUUUACUAGUUUAUCUCCUACGCUCACUUGCAAUUUUUCCUGAGUAAAUCCAAUCCCCCUUUAAAUUUAUGGCAAUGAUACUCUCUCCGAAACCAUCUCCAGAUUUUGGAAGAUAGCUCACCCAUUACUUUUGUUUCCAGCUUUACUGUGGAGUAGUCACAAGUAUUAGUUAAGAAAAUCGUCCCACCCCAUGUGUAAGUACCUUCUGAAACAGUGUAUCAUAGGCCCAGUGAUGUAGAGGUACCCAGGAGCUUCAGAUUUUAUGACUGGAUUCAACCGCUGGUCAUAAAUGAAUCACACUGACUGGAAGAGAAAGAUUUUCUGGUCCUGCAAAAAGAAGAAUAUUGGAAUUUGACAUAUUUUCAUUUACAUAAUACAAAUGAUUCCUUUGCUCUUUUGAUUUCCUUUACUUAUAUUGCUAAUCCAAAUAACAUAAAACAACACAUUGCAGCAAUUGUAUGCAUUACUGCUUUGGGAUAAAAAUCUAA